rnacentral:rRNA from 1 species
UACGGAGGGUGCAACCGCUGCUCGGAAUUAUUGGGCGUAAAGCGCACGUAGGCGGACCGCUAAGUCGGAUGUGAAAUCCCUCAGCUUAACUGAGGAAGUGCAUUCGAAACUGACGGUCUUGAGUACGGAAGAGGGUCGCGGAAUUCCCGGUGUAGAGGUGAAAUUCGUAGAUAUCGGGAGGAACACCAGUGGCGAAGGCGGCGACCUGGGCCGAUACUGACGCUGAGGUGCGAAAGCGUGGGGAGCAAACAGG